rnacentral:rRNA from 1 species
CCUACGGCGGCUGCAGUGGGGAAUAUUGGACAAUGGGCGAAAGCCUGAUCCAGCCAUGCCGCGUGUGUGAAGAAGGUCUUCGGAUUGUAAAGCACUUUAAGUUGGGAGGAAGGGUUGUAGAUUAAUACUCUGCAAUUUUGACGUUACCGACAGAAUAAGCACCGGCUAACUCUGUGCCAGCAGCCGCGGUAAUACAGAGGGUGCGAGCGUUAAUCGGAUUUACUGGGCGUAAAGCGUGCGUAGGCGGCUUCUUAAGGCGGAUGUGAAAGGCCCGGGCUCAACCUGGGAACUGCAACCAAAACUGGCAAGCUUGAGUACAGUAGAAGGUUGUGGAAUUUCCUGUGUAGCGGUGAAAUGGCUAGAUAUAGGAAGGAACACCAGUGGCCAAGGCGACCACCUGGACUGAUACUGACACUGAGGUGCGAAAGCGUGGGGAGCAAACAGGAUUAGAUACCCUAGUAGUC